rnacentral:rRNA from 1 species
ACGAACGCUGGCGGCGUGCCUAAUACAUGCAAGUUGAGCGCUGAAGGUUGGUACUUGUACCAACUGGAUGAGCAGCGAACGGGUGAGUAACGCGUGGGGAAUCUGCCUUUGAGCGGGGGACAACAUUUGGAAACGAAUGCUAAUACCGCAUAAAAACUUUAAACACAAGUUUUAAGUUUGAAAGAUGCAAUUGCAUCACUCAAAGAUGAUCCCGCGUUGUAUUAGCUAGUUGGUGAGGUAAAGGCUCACCAAGGCGAUGAUACAUAGCCGACCUGAGAGGGUGAUCGGCCACAUUGGGACUGAGACACGGCCCAAACUCCUACGGGAGGCAGCAGUAGGGAAUCUUCGGCAAUGGACGAAAGUCUGACCGAGCAACGCCGCGGGAGUGAAGAAGGGUGUCGGAUCGUAAAACUCUGUUGGUAGAGAAGAACGUUGGUGAGAGUGGAAAGCUCAUCAAGUGACGGUAACUACACAGAAAGGGACGGCUAACUACGUG